CUGCUCCUCAGCUCGGGCCCUGGUGCCAGCUCAGCCCAGGGGGCGCAGGGAGGGCUGGGGACCGAGGGGGCCGGGUCAGAAGCUGCCUCUCGUCUCUAGAAGAGAUGGGACCUCGGCGUCCGGCAGAGGCAGCCUAUUUCAUCAUAUUUGAAAAUCUAAGAGAAAAGAAAUAAGCCACUGACUUUGAAGGAGCUUCUUACACAACCGGCCAAGUAAAAGGAACGCACGCAUUUCCAAGCUGACAAAGAGGACAGGGGACCGGAGCGUGCCCACAGAAACAGGCUGGCGGUUCCCCGAGAGGUUAAGCACCGGUUCCAGGCACCUCGGCAAUCCUGCCCCAGGUGUCCCCCCAGGAAGAAGUACAACACGAAUCCACAGAGAAGCGUGAACACAAAUCCUACGUCAGCAGGAUUCACGAGAGCCUAAAGGGGGACACAACCUGUGUCCAUCAGCAGAUGAAUGGACACAUAACGUGUCCACCACACAUGCACAAGUCCCUCCGCCACCAGCAGGAGCGAGGCGCCCACCCCCGCCGCCCCGCGGACAGACCCAGAACACACGACGCUCAGGGAGGGAACCAGACACGAGAGGCCACGCGGGACGUGAGGCCACGCAGGACGUGAGUCCGCGUGUGUGAAACGUCCAGAACAGGCUCCUCCACGGACGGGAAGGGGGCUCGUGGGGGCCGGGGGCGGGAGUGAGUGCUGAUGGGGACGGGGCUUCUUUUUACGGUGAUGGAAUGUUCUGGAAUUAUUUGGAGAGAUGGCUGCAAAACCCUGUGAAUACACCGACGAUCACUAACUUGCACACUUCAAAGGGGUGAACUGCACAGUAUGUGAAUUACAUCUCAAGACAGCUGCUGCUAAAAGAGAGACAGAAAGCGUAUUCGGUGCACUCUGGGGAGCUGUCCAACGUCCAAAUUAUUCUGCUAUCCAGGAACUUAGUUACAUGAACUUACUUUAACUCAAGAGCCGACUGAAGAAGGCCAGACAGCGAAUAUUUUUAGCCUUACGGGCCAUGUGGUUUCUGUCAUAAUUCUUGUGUGUUUUUACAACCUUUCAAAAAAAACAAAGAACCAUUCCAGGCUCCCAGGCAGGCAGGACCACACUAGGCUGGGCCGGAUUUGGCCCAAAGGCCACAGUUUGCUCUGUCGACGUCAGCGGGGACCAAUUCCAAGACAGAAAGUACACGUUCCAGACAGAAAACUUCACGGCACCUCCAGGGCUUGAGAGAAAACAGGCUACAUAAGAUCUCGGGGAAAUGAGGGAGAGAGGGUAGAGGAAGGAAGGGCAGAGACGGGGGCGGCCAGGCCCUCUGAAGCUGGCGACAGCAGAGGGAGGGCGGGCCGGCCAGAACGACCCUGGGAACAGACAGAGGUUGGGGCGCCUUUGCCAAGCCAACACGGACCUCAAAAAGACCGAGGGACCCAACCGGGUCUGUCCGGUAAGCGGACCCACCCACGGUGGCGUCACAGAUGUGCUCUACGCACACACAAUUGGAAGAUGGGUGAAGUUCAAGGUGGGUCAGUGGGAGAUGCAAAAUUAAUACUAACACGGCGGGCUGAACAACAGUCCCUCCAAAGACACCCACGUCCAAAUCCCCAGAACCUGUAAAUACAGCGGUCUCACGACAAAAGGGACCUUGCAGGAGGGAGCAAGCCAAGGCCCCUGAGACGCUGGGGGUGACCCUAGGUGCCCAGGCGGGGCCCAGUGUCCUCAAGAGGUCCUCAUAGGAAGAAGGCAGAGAGACGGGUGGACCCCACGCUGCUGGCCAUUGAGGACGGAGGAGCGGCCGAGAGCCAAGGCUGUGACAUCGCUGGAAGCCGGAAAAGGCCGGAGAGGGGUCUCCCUGGGGCCCCGGGGGGUACCAGGCCCGUUUUAGACUCCUGACUUCCAGCCCUUCUAGGCCACUAAAUCACAGUGAGUUGUUAAACAGUGCUGACGGGAGACUCAAGCACUGAUCUGAGAGCCAAGUGCACGGGUCAGCCGAGAAAGGCAAAGCGUUCCUGAUCAGGCCUUGCCCCAUGUCCCCUGAUCUGCCCCAGCAGUCCCUUGGGACAUUAUGCUCCUGCCCCCCCCCCACACGUCUCCACUAACACUCCCCCCACCCGAAACGCCUGCCCCUCUCCUCUGCCUGCACCAGCCCAGCUAAUUCCUCCAGGCCCACCUCCCGUCCCAUCACAACUCCCCCAUGGUAAUGACAUCAGAUGCCAAACACUCACCACGUAGCGCUGUGCUAAGUGCUGGACCUGUGGCCUCAUUUUCAAAUACAAGGAUUGUGUUUCCCUGCUUUA